UGGGCAUUCCUUGGCCUUCCUUUCACCACCUGUUACCUCAUUUCAUUCAGAAUUCCUGGAAGAGGCUGCGCUGGAAUCCCUGGUUUUCCUCAAGUGUGGAAAACACAGCACUGAUGAGAUACCAGUUGAUUUUCAGCAGUAAACUUGUAAGAAAUCGUGACUGAUGUGUAUUUAUUUUUAUAGUUAUCUCCUGCUUUGGUGAGAAAUACUGGGCUUCCAGUUAGUAUAGCAAUGAACUGUUUCCCUUAUGUUUAACUUUACUUAUUUAUUAUUAUUUUUAAAUAAAAAUAACUCUUUGUUUUCGAGACAGGGGCUUGCUCUGUUGCUCAGGAUGGAGUGCCGUGGUGUGACCUUGGCUCACUGAAGCCUCGAACUAACUCCUGGGCUCAAGUGAUUCCCCUGCCUCAGCCUGCAGAGUAGCUGGGACCAUGGAAACGCUCCCGGCUCAGGGCGCCCUGCGUCCCUGGCGCCACCUGGUGUUCCCGCGGCGCCAGCGCAGCCUCUGAGGCCGUCCCGCUCCUUCCACCCGAGCGCGAGGGAGACUCCGGGGCCACCCGCCACAGCCAUAGCUUCUGGGAGCCGGUGGCAAGGCCGAAUUGGGAUGCAGACCAAAUGCACGUGGGUGAUUGGCAGAAAAAGCCUCCCACAGAUGGAGGGAUUUCGGAGGGAACCGAAAAAAAAAAAAGUUGGACUGCUGAGGUCCACUCCAGGCCCUGCUUGCCUGGGGAACUCCUGUAGCAGCUGCGGAACCAUGAGGAUUGCUACCAGAUUCUUCUUCUGCUAUCUUUGUCCCAGAAUGAUGCCCACCAAAUGUCAGUCUGGUAAGUCCUUUGUGAGGUAACUCUUUGUAUAUACAGGGGUCAGGAGGCUGUUUGAGGAGACUGUCUGUGCUUUAUAGGAGCUCAAGUGCUGAGCUGUGAGCUCCGUUGUUCAUUCAGGGCUGCUAGGCACGUACAUUUAAGUCUGCUGCAGCAGAACUCAUAAAGCCCCCCCCCUUUUUUUUAGGUGCUCUGUCCUGGGGAUUUAGGGCUCCAUUUAUGGGUAUCUGUUGCACUGUCCUGCCCAGCAAGGGGGCAGUCUAAUCACUACUUGCCUUCAGUGGCUAUGCUGAGCUGCCGUGGGCUCCGCCCUGUUGCUGUGGGCUCCGCCCUUCUGCCGUGUGUAAUUCCCUGUAGUCCCGUUUAUAUGGGUGUGCUCACCUCUGUAGUGGUGGACUCUCUCUGUUAUUGCAGGUUUCCCCGGCAACGGUGGGUUGCCUCGGCAAUGGCAGGCUGUGUCAGCAAUGGUAGUGUAGCUCCAUAGGGGUUGAGUGCCUCGGUAAUGGCGGACACCCCUCCCCCUCUGAGCUGCACUGUCCUGGGUUCCACUGUGCUUGCCAUGAAACUCUCAACCCGGAGCGUUUCCAAUUGUUGUUUUGUUUGUUUUUGUGGGUGUGGGUCCCACUGAGCCUGAUCACCUGGCUUCCUGCCUCAGAGCCCCCCCCCCUUUUUUUUUAAGUUGAGUGGUUGACUUUCUCUGAGGUGUUCCAGUCACCUGCUGCAAAGGUGCCGGGAUCUGUGUGAUUUCCCAUGCAGUGACCCACCUCCCGGCUCAAACCAUGUUGCUGCCUGGGAAUCUCCUGGGCUGGCUUUCUGUUUAAGUCUCAUUUAAUUAGAUGAAUGUGCUAAUUUGCCUUCUGAAAUCUCCAAUUGCUGGUUUAACGGGGAAACCAAACCAGCAUAUUUUGUAUGGAGUGUCACUGCGCUGCAGCCUCAGCUCAAACAGCUGGACCGGCCCGUGGGGCUCUUACACCUGGGAAUCUCUAGUCUGUGGACAAUAAAGAUCUGUAUGGAAAUGUCGUGUCCAGUCACUCUCUGCAUAUUGACUGGGAGCUGCAAUCCUGAGUUGGUCCUCAGUAUCUACUUUUUAAUUAAAAUAUUUAAAUAUUUAGAUCAUUUACAUUUAAUAUAAUGAAAAAGUUGAGUUUAAGCCUGACAUCUUGAUAUUUUGCUUUUAAUUUAAAAAAUUUUUCUUUUUAUUUCUUAAAUCUACCUCAUUGUCUGACUUUUUUUUUUAAUUUGCUUCAUCUGCUCUUUACUCUCUAUAUAUCUCCAUUUUUUAGCCUUUGGUAUGGUUUGGAUAUUGUCCCCUCUAAAUCUCAUGUUGAAUUUUCAUCCCUAGUGUUGGAGUUUGGGCCUGGUGGGAGAUGUUUUGAUUGUGGUUUGGUGCUAUCUUUGCAAUAGUGAGUGAAUUCUUAUAAGAUGCGGUUGUUUAAAAGUGUGUGGCACCUCCCUCCACUCCAACUCUCUCUUGUUUCUACUCUGGCCAUGUGAUAUGCCUACUCCUGUUUCACCUUCCACCAUGAGUAAACGCUUCCUGAGACCUCACCAGAAACUGAGCAGAUGCCCAAUGCCAUGCUUCCUGUGCAGCCUACAGAACAAUGAGCCAAUUAAAUCUCUUUUCUUUAUAAAUUACCCAGUCUUAGGUGUUUCUUUAGAGUAAUGCAAGAAUAGCUAAUGCAGCUUUCUUUUGAAUUGAGUGUUUUUCGAGUCCACUUUAUCUGCUAAUGUCUUAUUAACUGAAUAUCUUUUAAACAGUUUUCUUGUAGUUACUUUAGGGCUUAAAAUACACAUCAAUAGCCAGACACAGUGGCUCACACCUGUAAUCCCAGCACUUUGAGAGGCUGAGAUGGGUGGAUUACUUGAGGCCAGGAGUUUGAGACCAGCCUGGCCAAAAUGGUGAAAUCCUGUAUCUACUAAAAAUAAAAAAAAAUUAGCUGGGCAUGGUGGUUUGCACCUGUGGUCCCAGCUACUUGGAGUCUGAGGUAAGAGAAUUGCUUGAAUCCAGGAGGUGAAGGCUACAGUGAGCUGAGAUCAUGCCACUGUGCUCCAGCCUGGGCAGCAGAGUGAGACACUGUCUCAAAAAAAAAAAAAAAAAAAGGAAAAAUGAAACAUGAAAUAAAAUAUACAUCAACAUCACAGGCUGCCUUCAAAUAUUGUAUCAUUUAAUGAACAAUAUAAGAGUCUUACAAUAAUAUACUUCAAUCUCUCCUCCCAUGCUUUGUGCACAUAUUUUAUGUCUUUAUAUGUUACGAAUCCUCAAUAUAUUUGUUAUAAUUUUUUCUUUUAUCAAUUAUCUUUAAUAAAACUUAAAAGUGAAAAGAAAAUAUUUUAUAUUUACUGUUUCUCAUACUUUUAUUCUUUUGUUUAUAUGCAAGCAUUCAUUUCAAUAAUUUUCCACUGCCUGAAGCACUUUUUAAAAAUAUUUUUUGUAGUGUAGUUAUGCUAGUGAUACAUUAUCUUAGAUUUUGCUUCUGAAAAUAUUUUUAUUUGCCUUCAUUUUUUUUUAGAUGGAAUCUUGCUCUGUCACCCAGGCUGGAGUGCAGUGGUGCAGUCUUGGCUCAUUACAACCUCUGCCUCCAGAGUUGAAGUGAUUCUCCUCCCUCAGCCUCCCAAAUAGCUGGGAUUACAGAUGCCUGCCACCACACCCAGCUAAUUUUUGUAUUUUUUAGUAGAGACAAGGUUUCACCAUGUUGGCCAGGCUUGUCUUGACUGCCUGAUCUCCAGUGAUGUGUCCGCCGUGGCCUCCCAAAGUGCUGGGAUUACAGGUGGGGGUCACCAUGUUGGGCCUGCUUUCAUUUUUGAGAUAUACUUUUACUGUGUAUAGAAUCCUAAGAUGACAAUUAUGUUUUUCUCUUAGCAUUUUAAAGAUGUUAUCACAUUUCUGGAUUUCUGAUGAAGGUCUGAAAUUAUUUUUAUCUUUGUUUAUCUGUACACAAUGAGUCUAUUUUUUUCCUCUGGCUUUCAGGAAUUGAUUAAGAUGUGUCUUGAUGUGCUUUGCUUUAUAUUUAUUUUGUUUGAAGUUUGUUGAACUUUUUGGCUCUUUUUCUGAUUUUCAUUAAAUUUGUAAAAAAAAGUUGGCAUUAUUUCUUUCAAAGUUUUCUUGUGCUUCUUUACCUCUUUCUUUGGGACUCCAAUUAUGUGGACAUUAAACUGUUUGAUUUUGUUCCAUACUAUAUUAAGACUGUUCAUUUUUAUAUUUUUGUUUUUUGCCUUAUUUUGGUUAGUUACUACUGCUACUUC
rnacentral:lncRNA from 1 species